rnacentral:rRNA from 1 species
GACGAACUGUCCUAACGUUGUUCGGAAUCACUGGGCUUAAAGGGCGCGUAGGCGGUCGACCAAGUCAGGGGUGAAAUCCUGCAGCUUAACUGUAGAACUGCCUUCGAUACUGAGAGUCUCGAGUCCGGGAGAGGUGAGUGGAACUGCGAGUGUAGAGGUGAAAUUCGUAGAUAUUCGCAAGAACACCAGUGGCGAAGGCGGCUCACUGGCCCGGUACUGACGCUGAGACGCGAAAGCGUGGGGAGCGAACAGG